CGAACGGGUGAGUAAUGCGUGACCAACCUGCCCCAUGCUCCAGAAUAGCUCUUGGAAACGGGUGGUAAUGCUGGAUGCUCCAACUUGACGCAUGUCUUGUUGGGAAAGUGUUUAGUGGCAUGGGAUGGGGUCGCGUCCUAUCAGCUUGUAGGCGGGGUAAUGGCCCACCUAGGCUUCGACGGGUAGCCGGCCUGAGAGGGCGGACGGCCACAUUGGGACUAAGAUACGGCCCAGACUCCUACGGGAGGCAGCAGGA
rnacentral:rRNA from 1 species